ensembl:miRNA cin-mir-4133 cin-mir-4133
GCUACGCAAACGUAACAGACAAUAAUCAUGUCUAACUAAUUGUCAGUUAUAAUUAGCUGUCUUUGAUUUUUGCAUGUUGUGUUUUUGUAGC